rnacentral:lncRNA from 1 species
CAAAAAUCAUCAUAAAUGGAUCCCAAAACAAGCGAUAUCCGUCGGAGAAAACCAAGAUCUCGCUGAAAAAUCCAACAUCACCAGAAAGUAUUUGUUCAGUCAGAUUUGUCUAACUACGGUCAGAUCUAAAAAAAUAAAAUUAUACAAGAACAAACACAAUAAAAAUAUUGUCAAGCAUUGAAAGUAAAUGAAGAAACCAACCAACACCGCUACUUCGACGGCGAUGGAACGCCGGAGCAGCGGAUCUUUCGUGCCAAGUUCGAGAAGAUCUACGAGGGGGGCGUGUCUCGACGGAGCUCUUUCCGGAGGAGAGACAGCAGUGCAAAUGAAAGGAUAAGGGAGGCGGCCGGAGUUGUUGGAGCGGCUGGCGAUACGAGGCUCGCCGGUGAGGGAGAGCCUAUCGAGGUGUCGGCUGUAUGGUGGUGAUAUGGUGUUUUGGGAUUUGUGGGUUGUUGGGCAACGGGGAAAUAGGGUUCGGAGGUCGUGGCUGAACGUUGGUGGUGCGGCUGAAACUCGCCGGUCACCACUCCCGGCGAGCCAGCGACGGAGGAGAUAGAAAGGGAGAGAGACGUAAGUUUUGAGAGAGAAAUGGAUAAAAAUCUGAUUUGUAUGUGUGUAAAAAUAAUUUACCCUUUCUUUAUUUUAUAAUACAAAAUAAUCCCUCGUUUUUAUUUAAAAUAUUAAAUUAUCCUCUUUAACCAUUAAACAAUAUGUUAUUAACUAAAGGAUAAAAGAUUCAACCAAUCAUCUCAAUUGUCAUCGUUUAAAAAAUUAAUAUGAUUUUGAGUUAAUUAAUUUAUUGCUCUGUCUAUAAAAAAAAAUAAUUAAGCCUAUAUUAUUAUUUACAGACUAAAUUAAAAAAAUAUGAAUAUUGAUGUAUAUUUACAGAAAAAUAUAAACAACAAAUGUAAUUAACUUUUAAAAAAAUUAUGCUAUAAAUAAUUAAAAUUAGAAUUAUCAUAUGUAAAAAUAAUUAUAGUGUUAUGUUAUGUACGUAUGCAGAUGUAUGUUCAAAAAUAUUAAAAUAAUAAUAAAAUAAUAAAAAUUUUAAAAUUUACGAAAUUAAGAAUACUUAUCAAUAAAUUAUGUAAAGUUAAAGUAUGACAGUAAAUUGAUAAAAAAAAUCUAAAAUAAUGUUGAUUAUUAAUAAAUUGUUAAAAAUUAGAAAAAUGUGUAAAAAUUGUAUUUGUGCCCUUUAACGAUUAGAAAGCUUGAAUGCACUAAUUUUAGGCAUGGAAAGCCAAAAUUGGGUGUCAACAAUCAUCCCGACCAUGCUAACUAGUCACAGUUCCCUAGCAAAGUGUCCAUCUGCUCUACUUUUCUUUGAGAGAGACAACAAAUGAAUUUUUAUUACUAGAUAUGUUUUAAUAUUUACACUUGAUUCAGAUAUCUCGUGUUUUAAUUCAGUUUCAUCGGCCAGAUUCGCUAGAAGUUCCUUGCUACCCUAUGUUACCUCUUUAAUUGACUCUCAGAUGAUAUAGUCUUUCAUCAACUCCCCUUUUUCCCUCACAUGCAUUCUCCUACGGCUCUUUCUGGCGUAUAAUCAUCUUCUCGAACAACCCUUACAUAUAAAUUUAGGCCAGGGGAAUUUCUAUUGGUUUUUCAUUCUUGUUUGAUGCAGUGCGAGGCUUCGAAGGCCUUCUCAAAAUCCAAUGCACACUUAAAGUUAAGUUCAAUCGCUAUUGGAUCUCUGCAAUGACACCAAAUAUUGAUCUCUUCUCAAAACUUGACACACAUAAACAUGAGACACAACUAUCAUUAAUUCGUAACAGGGUAGCGGUACCAUCUUCUUAGGCCCCUCGUCCUUAUCAAUUCGAACCUAUCAAACUUAACUAUACAAUGCAAGAUCUUAUUUGAAUGAUCAAUGCCUAAUCAAUUAAAAACUGCUUUCACAAAAUCAUUGUACUUUAUAUGUGUUGUCCCGGUGACCUUAUCAGUAAUACAUAACUCCCACACAUGAAAAUGGAUUCAUCUAUCUGCACGCACCUUAUUCUUUCUAGCCAAUCUAUGGCUUAAUUUGAAUAAACAGAUGACUAACAUGUUUCAACAGAUGACACAUCUGUUAAAAUUAUCAAAAAAUUAUAAACAUUUGUUACGACAGAUGAUCAAUCUAUUGCAACAUAUGACUUGUCUGUUGAAAAUAAUCAGACAGAUACAUCCAUUUGUUGCAACAGUUUGUCAAUAUGUUGCAAAUUAUCAAACAGGUAGAAUACAUUUUGCAACAAAUUACCCAUCUGUUAGAUUUAUUUUAAAGUAGUUUUUUGUUCUUUCCGAAAUACAAUAAAGAUAAAAUAUUGUAUUUAGAUCCAUUUUUUUAAUUUACAUAUUCGAAAGUCACCAGUUUUAAUCAAUUAAGGGAUGUAAUUAUUAAAAAUAGGUGAACAGUCAUGGAUUUUUUACUAACUCAUUCGAAUUCAAUCCUUUAAAAAUAGGUUUUUCCUAACUCGUUCAUUCUACUCCACUUCUAGAUACGGUUGAUCCAGAUUUGUAUAAGGUAAUUCAUCUCGAGUCCUUGUGGUAACUUAAAAGGCAGAUUCAUGAACUCAGGAGGGAGUUAGGUGACUUUAAAGCAAGGCUGAGGAGGGCCCUGAUGCUGCCGGAUGAUAAUUGGUCGGUUGACAAUAAUAAUAAUACUAAUAAUGAUAUUGAUGAUAAUAAUAAUAGUAGUAAUACUAAUUAGGUUAUGUAUUUUCUUUUUGCGUAUGUAUUUUCUUUUUUUAUAUCGGAUCUACCCAAGAGUAUUUUUUUUUUUUGUAUAUAUUUGUAUAUAAUGAAUUCAAAAAUCUAUGUUUGGUCGACUUUGGAUUUUUAAUUCUUAUUUAAUAUUUAAUUUUCAUUUUGUCUAAUCCUUAUUCUCAACAUGUCGACGGUUAGAGGUAGGGAUUAAGCGUUUGUGGCAACGGAUGAACCAUAUGUUGCAACAGAUGGUUAAUUUAUUGCGACAGAUGGAUCAUAUGUUGCAACAGUUAUUAAUAAAAAGGAAUUAUUGUUAUUGAGAGGGUGAAAAGUCAUGACUUUUCAAUUAUUUAAUAUGAAAAAUGGUUCGUAAAUAAAUAAUAAGGAAAUAAAUGAUAAACACAAUUUAUAAUCGUAAAAGAACGGUUAUUUAAUUUUAAUAAUUGAUCGUGACUUUUCACCAUUUUUAUUUUUCAAUCAAUUUUUUUAAUUAUUUAUUUAUUAUAUAAUAAAAAAGUCACAACAUUGGAUUAAUUAAGGUAUAUGAUUAUUGUUAAAAAAAAAAGGUGAACAGUUGUGUCUUAUUAUCUAACAUAUUCAAAACAGCUAAUGCAUCAAAUUCCCCAUCUGUUGCGACUGAUGAAUCAGUUGUUAGAAGAAAUCAAUAAAACUCCUAAAACAGAUAGUUGAUUUGUUGCAACAAAUGGAUUAUCUGAUGCAACAGAUUGUAACUCAAUAAUAAUUGUUAUUUAAAAAAAAAUUAAGUAAUAAAAAUAGUUAUUAUUUUAUUAAAGAAACGGUUAUUGAAAAGGUGAGAAGUCUUCAAUUUUUUAAUUGAACAAAAGGUUAUUUAAAUUUAAGAACUAAUUAAUAAUAAUAAGCUGGAAAUCAUGACUUGUCAUAAUAAUAAAAAAACUCACCAGCUUGAUUUAAUUAAGUCAUUUCUUUUCACAAAAACUAAUAAGAAAAUAAAUGAUAAACACAAUUUACAACCGUAAAAAUGAUUAUUUAAUUUAAAUAAUUGAUGUUAAUAUUAAAUAGGCGACAAGUAGUGACUUUUCGUCAUUUUUGUUUUAAAUCUGUUUUUUAAUUUAUAUAAUAAAAAAGUCACCAAAUUUGGAUUAAUGAUAUGGUGAUUAUUAAAAAAGAUAGAUUAUAUGUUGCAACAGAUAGAUUGUUUGAUGCAACAGAGUGUCGAUUUGUUGCAAUAAAUGGUAUAUAUGUUGUCACAGAUGGGUUAUUUAAUGCAAUAGAUAUAUAAUAUGUUGUCACGACUUAAUAAAAAUGGAUAUUAGAAAGAACUAAUUAAUCAUAAUAAGCUGAAAAGUCAUGAAUUAUCACAAUAAUCAAAAAGUCAUAACUUUUUGCAGUAAUAAAAAAGUCACUAGUUUAUAUAUAACUAAUAAAUGGAGGUGAACAGUCAUGCAUUUUUGCCUAACUCAUUCAAAUUCAAUCAUCUUUAAAUAGGUCUCUCCUUACUCGUUCAUUCUGCUAUACUCUAUUUAUUUCUUGCAUCUUGUCUUUCUUAUUACACCUUCAACCACUUUCUCUUUCCUGACUCAGGUAAGUUUUUUCCUCCUGACUCAGGUAAGUUUUUUCCUUACUUUUUGUGUAAAUAUACCCAACUGGUAGUAUACGUUGUAUUACAUUCAGAUUUUUUUCUUUACUUUUAUCUUUAUGUUUUUUGUCAAUUCAUGUGUGUUCUAGAUAUGGUUGAUCCAGUGUGAGACGUUGUUUUUCUGCAAGACGUCGUGUGGGAACUUCGGAGGUAGGUUCAUGACCUGUAGUGGGAGUUGGGCGUCGUGAGAGCAAGAAUGCUCCGAGGGAUCCGCAAGCUGAGUAGGGCCCUACUGCUGUUGGUUGAAGAUUGGCCGGAUGGCAAUAAUAAUACUAAUAAUAAUAAUUAGAUUAUGUUUUUUCUUUUAGCCUAUGUAUUUUUAUUUAUUUUUGUUUAGUAAAAAAAUUUAUGUUUGAUUGACUUUGACGUUUUAAUUCUUAUUUAAUUUUCAUUAUGUCUUUCUUCUUCUCAACAAACAUUUCGACAUUUAAGGAAUAAUUUAAAUCCAGUAGCAAUAGCAAGAGUUGAAACAUAUUGGUUUUCUGUUAGGUUUGUGGCAGGAGUUGUAUUGUGUUAUUCCAAACAGAUUACUCAUCGGUUGCAAUAGAUAAAUAGUUUGUUGCAAUAGAUAAAUAUUCUAUUGCAAUAGAUUACUCGUCUGUUGCAACAGAUGAGUAAUAUGUUGCAACAAAUAACUAGUUUAUUGCAACAGAUAACUCGUAUGUUGCAACAGAUUGCCCAUUUGUUCGAUUCAUGUUACGGCCACUAUGGGACCAUAAAAAUGAAUCCAACAUAUGAGUCUUCUAUUGCAACAAAAUAUUUAUCUGUUGCAACAAACUGAGUGAUCUAUUUAAAUUGUGGGCUCUUAUGUUGUAAUCAUCAACGGGUUCUAUCCAUUGUUGAAAAAACAACAGUAGCAGUGUACCCAGAUGACAAAUUCAACUAAAAAUCAUAAUUUUACUUCCAAAGUCACCUAUGAUGUAAUGACAAAGUGGAAAUUGAUGUACAAAAUAAAAUUUCAUCUAAAAAAUUGGUCAAGUAGCAGCAGUAGAGGUAAAAACAACAACAAUGGUCGACAAGAAGAAGAUGAAGAUGAUAAUGAAGUAGAAAAUAUCGAUAAUGAAGAAGAAGAUGAUGAAUAAAGCAACAACAACAAUGAACAAUAAAAAUCGCGAAGAGAGAGAAAACAAUAACAGAUGAGAAAAGAAAGGAACGCGCCUUUUUUCCCUCCGUUUUUUUCUUUAUAACUAACAUUUGGAUCAAAGUGUAAAUUUAAAAAUUUGUGGGUUGUUUUUAAAUUUUUUCAACUUUCUUAAUCCAUAAUAAAGUAAUUGUCACCUCCACUCAAUUAUUAAAACUUGAGUCACCUACACCUCAUUUUCAAACUCUUUUGUCACUUUUAGCUCAAAGCCCCAACUUUCUUCUCUUACUAGUGAAUUUGUCUUGUGUGGUCUUAUAAAAUAUGUAAGAUAUCAAUAAUUUUAUUGAUAUAAAUGAGUUUUUCAUAAAAAAAAAAAAUUGGGUAGUAGUUAUAUAUAAGAUUUUCAGUAAUAAGUUGCUAUUUUAAUGAAUAUAAUAAGCAAUGAAUUGAAAAAUAUACUCUAAUAACUUAAAUUGCUAAUGUGAUUAUUUCUAUAAAGUCUUAUAAUGUAUCUAUUUACAUGACUAUAAUAUGGAACAUCAAAUAAUGUUAUGAACAUGAUUAUUAAUUGUUUUGUUAAUUAUGAUAAUAAAAAAUUGUGAAAGUAAUGAAUAAAGACCAUUAAUGUUUACAUUAAAGAACUUUAAGGAAAUGACUUUUUAAUUUCUUAACUUGCAUAUUUAAUAUACUGUACUUAAAAGAUUUAAAAGAGUGAAUAUUUUAGCUUUAUAAUAAAGCACAUAAAUGAAGAAAAAAAUAGAGAAAACUCCCCAAAAGGAGAAAAAAAAUUCAUCAUUGUAUUUCUUGGCCAAAGAGAUGUGUUAUAUUAUGUUAUAUAUUCUUAGCUUUAUAAGUAUUAUAGAUUAAUUGCUUAGUUUGAUAUAAAUAAGAUACACUGACAUGCAAAAAUUUACCUAUUAACGGUCAUUUUUAUAACAAUUUGGUGCGUUAAAUAUUGCGCUUUGAAUCUCGACACUCUUUUAUAUGUGAAGAAAAUUUUCAAAAAAUAUGGUUAUAUCAUUAACUUUAAAUAGGUACAACUUCUUUCAUAUGAGAAGAGAAUUCUCAAAAAGUAUGGUUAUAUCAUUAACUUUAAAUAGGUACAUAUUUGGAUAAUCUAGAUGUUAAAUAAUUAAAAUUUUAGUUGAGAUGUUUAGGUUAACGCUACAUGAAACUUUAAAAGGCGAGAAGUGAUUUAAGCCUAAAAAUACGAAUACAUAUGAUCCUCUUUGUCAAUCCUCUUUUCCUUUUCAAUUUCAUAUUCAAAUUCUUAAAUUCUAUUUCUUUUUCAUGUCACAUGUUUGCCUUUAGGCUCUGACAAUUUUUAUACAAAAUAAUAGGUGAAACCUGACAAAAAUAACAUUAAUUCAAAUAUUACAAUAAUAGAAUAUCUACAUACUCUGCCGAUAUGAUGUAAUAAUUAAAGAAAUAUCUAUUCAUCUCUUUCAAAAAGAAAAGAAAAUAACAAAACAUUAUAUUCACAAAGUGAAAAAAGAAUGAAAAACAAUUAUUAACUACAUUUCAAGCAAGGAAAAAGUUGACAAAAAAAUUAUAUAUCUAAAGAAAGAAAUUAUGAUAUUAUAAAUUAAGUUAGUUCAUCCUUAAAUUUUAGUAAUCAAUAAUAAAAUGAAACAUUCAUCAACAAUUAAAGAAUUUUUUUUACACCAUUAUAUACAAAUAACAUAAAUUGUUUAAUUAAAAUAACUUUAAAAACAAAAAGAAAAUGAACUAUUCACAUAAAAGAUAGAAAAAUCCUAAUUCGUUUUUCUUUAUUUUUUCUGAAUAUUUAAAUAUUCACUAAGUUCUAUUAACAUUUACAAUAUUCUUAUUGAAAUUAUACAUUCAAAAAAGUAAUCGAUGAGCAAGAAGUAAUUCAAACUAUAUAUAACUCUGUCAAAACUUUUUAAGCACUCUUUCUUGCCUUCUUGAUGUAUCAUAAUACCCCAUAAACUAAAUGUGAUCAAACAAUAAAUGAUGAAAAGAAAGAUUUUGAGCAAGAAAUUUUUUGUUGUUGCGCUAUUUUUUUAUUUCACAAUUUAGCCAAUUUAGAGGAGGCUAUAGUGAUAAAGAGUAGAAAGAAUAAUUUUGAAUGAGAAUUUUCAUGACAUAAAACAAGAAUUUAUAUAGAUAAAAAUGGAGAAAUAUCAUAAGGCAUCAUAAAUUUAUAAGUUAAAUUUUGGGGGUUAUGAAGAUUAAAAAAUGAGAGUUAUGAAUAUCAUUAAGAGUAUAAAUUAAAGAGGUUUGAGUUGAUGAAUUAGUUUUUUCUUUGAUUUAGUUUUCUUUGAGUUUUUUUUUUAAAUACAUAAAUAUUUAUAAUGAGAAGAAAAUUCUAUUAAUGUCCAAAAAAAAAAAAUUUUUUUUUACAUAACACAUAAAUGAGAAAAGUUUAAUAGCAUUGAUGAUGAAAGUUAUUUAAUAUGACUAUCUUUAAUAUUGUGUAUAAAUUUUAACGUGAAUUUUUAAUUUUUUAAAAUUAAAAAAUCCAAAAAAAAAACACAAAAAAAGAUAAAUAAGUUUGGAGGCUUCUAAGGCAUGCCACAUAGGAUUAUAUAUAUAUAUAUAUAUAUAUAUAUAUAUAUAUAUUGAUUCUUCAUUAUUAUGAUUUUACUCCUUUUCAUUUGAUAUUUUUUAUAUUUUUUUCAUGUCUUUUCAUGAUAUUGAUACAUAAUUUUCAUAGAUUUGUAAGUGAAAGAGCGUGGCAUUUGAUCUUACUUACAAUGAAUAUUCGUCGGAUUCAAGAUUUAUGAAUAUGUUAUUACUAUGCACAUAUGCAAUUGUUUCUCUCUUCAGUUUGUUGCAAGUUUGUACAUAGCUAUUGUGUGAAUCUCAAUAUAAUACAUUUACCUUUUGAAAGUUAAAAAUGCCUAAUUUUAAAGAGGCGACCUCUAUAAUACCUUCAAGUCACAUAUUCUUUUUCUUGAAUAUAUGUCUCUAUUUUUCUCGACUUAUGUAUUGAACUAAAGAAAAAGUAAUAAUGCAUUGUAAUGAUAGGAUAAACUAUUCAAGGAAACUGAUACUUAAAAUUUUUCCUAAGAUUAAUUGGAGAAGAAAGAGAAAUGGACUUGGUUAUUCAGGAAAAUAACAACUUUAAACUUUUGUAAAUGCAUAAAUAUGAGAAGCAGCAAAAGAGGAUUUUUAAUUGUUUGUCCUUUUUCUUUGUUAAUUUCCAAAAUUUGAAAAAAAAAAAGUUCUCAUAUUACUAUAAGAAUAUGAUGAAAAUAAUUGAAACAUUAAGAAGUCGAUUACAAAUAUUUUUAACUUUAAUCAUUUAUUAGAUAAAAAUUAAUUUUUGAAAUAAUAGAAUUACAUUAAAAGAAUUAUUUUUUAAUAUCCAAAUAUUAGAAAAAGACUUUCGUUGUUAAUUUAACUGUGCAAAGCGCGGAAAUAUACACUAGUUUAUAUAAUAAAGGAGAAUAGUCUAUCACGAGGUUAUACCAUGUGGCAUCUUGAGAACUAUCAACUUACAACAAAAACCUAUUUUGUAGAUUAUUAAUUAAUUCAUAUUUAUUCUAUAUUUAUUUCAUAUCUAUAUAUAAUAAAGGAGAAUAGUUUAGCUUAAAAUUCAAACAGGUGUCAUCUUUAGAACUACCUAUUUGAAUUCUUACAACAAAAAACUAUCAUUUCAUAACAAAAAGCUAUUUGGUUGAUUAUUUAAAUAUAUAAUAUUAUUUCAUAUUUCAUACUGAGAUAAAAACAAUGAAGAUUCAUUUCUAUUGGAUGAAAACUAUUAUGAUUUCAUAUUAUUUCAUUUAAGGUCAUUUCAUAUCUCUAUAUAUAAUAAAGGAGAAUAGUUUAGCUUAAAAUUCAGACAAGUGUCAUCUUUAAAACUACCUAUUUGAAUUCUUACAACAAAAAGCUAUCAUUUCAUAACAAAAAGCUAUUAGGUUGAUUAUUUAAAUAUUUAAUAUUAUUUCAUAUUUUAUAUUUUGGUAAAAACAAUUAAGAUUCAUUUCUAUUGGAUGAAAACUAUAAUGAUUUCAUAUUAUUUCAUUUAAGGUUAUUUCAUAUUGUGGUAAAAAACAAUUAAGAUUCAUUUCUAUUGGAUGAAAACUAUUAUGAUUAUUCAAUUGUUUUCAUAUUAAGAAUUUUCGUUAAUUAUUUCAUAUUAUUCUAUGUUUUUUUUAUUAUUUAUUUAUGUAGCUAAUAUAUUUCAUAUUUCAUAUUGUGGUAAAAAAAAAAUAACUAUUUCAUAUGUUUUAAAGAAUAGUAUUAUAUGAAGAUAAAUAUUAAUGAUUUCAUUACAAUUGAGUAAAAGAAAUAUUAUAAGAAAAAAUCAAUUAAGAGAAUAGCCAAUUAAUAAAUAGUCACUGAUCAAUUUAUAUAGACAAGAUUAUAGUCAUUCUAAAUAAAAAAUAUUUAAAAAAGAUGUCAUCCCUCAAAAUAUGUAAACAAUAUAAAUAAUGAUAUUAUAUUAAUUUUUUUUAUGAUUUCAUUACAAUUGAGUAAAUCAAGAAAAUAUUACAAGAAAAAUUUAUGAAUUAAUAAUCAACUAGCAAUCAAACAACUUAUAUGGAAAAAGUUUACUUGACAUUCUAAAAAAAACGUUUCAACUUUAAUUGCAAUUAAGUUUGACCUAUUUUUGUAAAACAAUAAAUGCAUGAAUAUAAGAAAGUCCGCAAUUAGGAAAAAAAAUAACUAUUACCUUAUUUGAGUUUUAAACAAAUUAUAAAGAUAAUUAAAUAUCAAUUGAAUAUAAUCAAAUUAUGAAUCUAUUAGAAAAAAAAUAAUUGUUACCUUUGUAAAAUUCUUUCCAAAAUUAUAAAGGUAAUUAAUAUCAAUUCAAUAUAAUCAAACUAUAAAAAUAUGAGAAAUUCAUGGGAUUGAAUUUCCUAAAUUAUAAAAGUAAUUAAUAUCAAUUGUUUCCGUAUUUGAAUCCUUUGUGCAAUUGUAGAUUAAUUAAAUACAAUCAAGCUAUAAAAUUAGGACAUAUUUAUGGUAAAUAAAUAUAUAAUAUUAAUAAUAAUUUAUUGUUAUCAAAUUAAUUAAUAUAAAUUGAGGUAAAAAUCAGUUAAUAUUGACAAUUAUUUUAACAGAAAAUAUAUGCAAAGUUCCGUUAUUGAUAUACAUAUAUUGGUAAAAAAAAAAUAACAAACAUUGACUACUACUUUAGCCAUAAAUAUAUUUUACAACAUUAAAUUUAAGGAACUUGAAUCUAUAUAUUAUGAUCAUAAAAUUUAUUCUAAUUAAUUAAAAUUAAUUAGUUGAUUGUGUAGUCUUAUUACAAUUAUGUUGUACAUUAUUUAUUUAAUGGAAAUACAUAUAAUUAAUUAACUGAUUUUGUGCAAUCUACUAUGAUCUUAUUAAUUCAAAUGAAAUAAUUUUUAAACGGUAAGUUUGAACUAUAAAAAGAAAGGAGAUUAUUUUUUUUGAAAUUUCAAAUUAAUAUGCAUUAAUCUAUUUUAGUGGGGUAUUAGUCUUCAACAAGAUAUCCGAAUUUAAAUGGAGUAAUCAUAUGACUUUAGCAUUUCUUAUGCAUUAAAAAAGAUUUAGGGACAAAAAAAUAUAAUGCCACAACAUUUUUGGGUUAUUUAAUUCAUUUAUCACGUUUUAAAAUGUUGUUUAUACCAAUUCGGUGAUGUUUAUAUGGAAAAGUUAAAUUUUCAAAAAAUAAAUAUCUUAAAUUUCAUAAUUUAAGUUAAUUUGUGUGCUAAUUUUAAAAAGAUAAUUAUUGUUUACAUUCUAUUUGUAUCAUAUGAAAAAAUUGACCUCAUAUGGCUAUAUAUACUCAUUCAAUAACACAGAUAUAUUGUCACAUUUUUCUUCUCUCUGUCUGUGUGUGUGUGUGUGUGUGUGUGUGUUAUUGUUAUUUAUUAUUAGCCUUAUUGUUAUUUAUCAAGUUUUUAUUAUGAAUAUGUGGAAAUAAGAAUUGUCAAUAGUUUGCUAAAUAUUAAUUCAAAUUAUCAAUAAUUCGGAUCUUUGUUGAAAAUGAUUUGAAUUAUUCGGACUGUUUUUUCUUUCUUGAGAAAAAUAAGUUUGUUGGUUUUUUUAAUUUCUUUAUACAAAUACAAAUUUAUACUAUGAAUAAUAUAAUUUCUUAAUCAUAUAUUAUUUUGAGGUCUUGCAAAAUUAUGAUAUAACGAUGAUUGAUUUUUUUUAUUUUAUUAAAUAUUUUUUAAUAUCAUAUUUUGAUAGAGUAAAAGAUCAACAUGUUGAAGGAAUAUUGUCACUAAUUAAAAAUGAGAUUUCAAGAAGAAGAAAUGUAACGACCUAAAAAUUUAAUGAAAUAUGUGAAAUUUAUGAUUUUGUGUAAUUUGACUAUUUUUCCCCUCUCCGCAGUUCCAUUAUGAUAUUUAUGGGGUAUGGGAGUGAUUGGCAUGAUUUUGAUGCAUUUUGGUAUCAUUUAUGCAAUAUUGUGAAUUUUUAUGACUUUGAGAGCCUUAUUUUGGACUUAUGUGGAUAUCUUUUGAUCCGUGCGAUGGAUGGAUGAACGGACUACUCAAACAGCUCCAGAAUAUUAAUUUUUGGCUAGGUAAACCUUUGGUUUGGGUCCUGGUGCACUCGAGCUCAUUUCUAUCUGUUGAUUGGAAAGUUGAAAAAUUGAAAAUAUGGGUGUUGGUCUCACAUUUGAUUGAAACGACCUCGGAUGAAAAAUCUGACUUUGCUAGAAGAUCCGAAAUGUCGAUUUUAGGGUGUUAGUAUUUUGGUACGAUUUUACGGCUUUUAAAUCUAUUUUGACCCUUGGUUUGGAAAAUUAUAAUUUCAGAUUUUGGGGGUCAAUUUUGAGAAAAUGAUGUUUUCUUGAAAAUAUAAUAUCACCAUCACGUUCGAAAUAUCGAAUUUAGUGUGGUUGCAUAGUUCGUUUGCAUAAAUCAGACACCGAACGAAUCCCGGGCACCCCGUCGAAGUCCAUUUCGACUUAAAGGAAAAAAAUCUGCACAACUAUUCCAGAAACAACAACAACAACAAUAAUAACAACAACAACAACAAAAAACUUAGUGUGUUCCCACAAAGUGGGGUCUGGAGCUAUUGCAGAAAAUCUGCAAUAAAUAGCAAAUUUUUCACCCUUUUGGGCUCAUUUUGCUCAUUUUCAUCUUGGCUCUUGGGAGUUAAACCCUAAAAUAGUGUGGAAGCUUAAAAGUAAAGUUUGUGAGAGUUUGAGAAGCUAAAUUAACACUUUUUUCUUAAUUUAUUAUGGAUUAAAGGUAAGAAUUCACCCCUUUUCUUAAUAAUUUCUUGAUAAAUUUCUUAAAACCCCAAAAAUCUUAUGGCAUGAUUUUAAACUAAAAAUUUACUUUUUUCACUUGAAUAAUAUUUUUAUCUCAUAAUUACUAGUUUUUCAUCAAUUUAACUUUCAAAAUAACUCCGAUUCUUGAUUUUAACCCGGAUUUCAAAGAUUUUACCCGGUAAAGUUCAAAAAUGAUUUUUCUUCGAUUUGAACCCCAUUUUUUACUCAAUUUAACUUGGAUUUUCAGUUGUAGGUUCCUAAAAAUAUGGGGAACAUGUUUUUGAAGUAAAUUUCUAAUUUUUUCCUUCUUUUUUGAAAAUCCAUUUUGGGGGUCUGUUUCGACCCCGAAUUAAAAGUAGUUAAUAUGGGUGUCGUUGGUUGUUUUUUUUAUGCGUAGAUUUUAUAUUUGAUAUUUUUAGUAAAGUUUGGGAUUGUUCGUGAAAAGUAAGGUCGUGGGUUCAAGUGUAGCGGACCGAUUUCGACUUCGAGGUAGGUUAUGACUUAACUCUUCAGACUGGGUUGGGUAGUAAAUGAUGGUACAAAAUGCAUGUUAAGGGUGAGAAAUAAUCAUGAAAAAUGGCUAUCUAUGUGUUGUGCCCAUGUGGGGCCUAUAUGUGAUGUAAUUGUCGAAAUUAAGAUAAUAUGUGAUAUGUUUGACCGUGUGGGGUCCUAUGUGAUAUUGAUAGCCUUGAAUACACGUGAAUAAUUGUAUUGUGUUGUUUAAUGUGGUACCAUUGGUGUAUUGUGAUUAUAUUCAUACUUUAUUGGCAUAUGACACGUGAAAAUUCAUGGAUGAAACGAAAAUAAUAAUUAGAUAUUGGCUCAUGUGGUUGUGGCAAUGUAUCAUUGUGGUUGGUUGUGGAAAUAUAUAAUGUUAUUGGCUGUGGAAAUACUCAUUGUGAUUGGUUGUGAGCAUUACAUCUUCAUAUCAUACUCAUUCAUGAAACAUUGGUACCUCCGAGGCAACAUCUAAGAAACACUGGCAACACCUUUUUAAGAAAAUAUUGUAGCACCUUAUAAAACCCUUUUCGAGGGAUAUGCCGAAAAGGAGAUAUGAGAUAUGUGGAUUGUAUAUGGGUUGAUGAACCCCCCAUGGGUCCUACGUCGGGAAGGUUUAGCUCCGUAGGUGUAUACGGGGAUUGUGCGACUAUCCCGGAGGUUGUGCGACGACCCCGUGCAUCAUCAUCAUCACAUACAUUGCCCUUGCUUUAUUAUGUUUAUGUUGUGUUGUAUUGCCUUAUUGACUUGUCAUCUAUGUAUUUGUCUUAUCUUCUUUUAAUUGUAUUUGAUGAUCUUGUAUCUACAUGUUCUCUAUUGUUCUAUUUAUAUGUGACAUAAUGUAUACUUGUGUUCUAUAUCUUGGUGUGUCGUUGUAAUAUAUAUGAUAUAUUUUAGAAUUGUUAGUGCAAGCGGUGUGGGCUACUGUUGUGGGAUAUUUUCUAAUUGCAGGUGAUGUGCCCUUA